CACACAGAUCAGAUCAGAUCUGCCAUGGCUGAAAUCGAAGGAGGCGGAGAUCAGAUCUGCCGAUGGAGGAGGCGGCGCAACGAUCAGAUCAGAUCCACCGCCGCCGCCUCAUCAGACCAGAUCUGCCGCCGCCGCCUCAUCCUCUACUCCGACGAAUUCUGCCCAGGCGGCGCGCUGGAGAGAGAGAGAGGGAGAUGAGAAAGAGAGAGGAGAGAGCGGCAGCCGCUGGAGAGAGAGAGAGGGAGGAUCUCCUCCACCGCCGCCGCCUCAUCCUCUA
rnacentral:lncRNA from 1 species